rnacentral:rRNA from 1 species
UACGUAGGGUGCGAGCGUUGUCCGGAAUUAUUGGGCGUAAAGAGCUCGUAGGCGGUCUGUCGCGUCUGCUGUGAAAACUCGGGGCUUAACCCCGGGCCUGCAGUGGGUACGGGCAGACUAGAGUGCGGUAGGGGAGAUUGGAAUUCCUGGUGUAGCGGUGGAAUGCGCAGAUAUCAGGAGGAACACCGAUGGCGAAGGCAGAUCUCUGGGCCGUAACUGACGCUGAGGAGCGAAAGCAUGGGGAGCGAACAGG